AAGUUGGUCCAGCAGGUGCGCAAGAUAAACGUCCGCGAUGAAGGUGCGGCCGGCGCGUUUGGUGGCGCGGAAGAUGGUAACGAAGCGAUCAAUGUUCUGCGGCGAAAAGGACGCGAGCACGAGACCCGAAGAGCCGUUGAUCAUCCCAAGGAUGCGUUGUUCAAGCUCUUGCUCGGUUUCUGGGGCGCUUGCCAUGCCAGGGCGGCUUAACGUGGUUCCUUCAAGCAGCAGGACAUCGAUUGCCUGGGGCGGA
rnacentral:misc_RNA from 1 species